rnacentral:misc_RNA from 1 species
UUUUCUUAACCGUUAGCUGAGCACGAUAUACAAUAAAUAUACAUAAGUUUUGUAACGAUGAUUAUGACUAAGUGCCACUUUGUGAUACUAUACUAUUUACAAUAUCUGUAAAUUGCAAAUAAAAAAUUAAAUAUAAUUUUAAUUGUUUUUUUCUUACUAUCCCUUUUGUUCUUGAAAAAAAAAUGAGGAUAAUUAGAUGAGUAUUUAAGAUAUUUGCGCCCGAAUUUAUAACUUUAUUGAUGCUCUUAAUAGUCUUAAUGAAAGGUUAAUAAUUAUGAUUCUUCUUUCAGGAAAAGAUCUUUUAUACUUUUAUACUUUUUAAAUAUUUUUACACUACUUGAAUACAUUGCUUAUAUUGCUUGCAGAAAUAUCUCAAGAUAUUUGUUAAACGUUAAGAUAAAUUUUUCAGAGCUUUCAGAACUAAUUGACUUGUGUUAUUUAAUGUCAUCUACGUUAAAUAUAAUUGAUUGCUUUUUCUAUCACGCAACUCGUAUUUUCUUGCACGCCGAAAGUGUAUACAUAUGAUCGAAGGAAAAAAAGAAGAUAUGCCGAGGGAGGAGAAAUAGAGACCACGCACGAGCGUCUGAGCCUUUAGUCUGAGGCGAGAGAAAGCAAAGAGGAAUGAGGAACGUUAUUCAGAGCCGUGGCAGAGUCCGGUGAAUUCAAGAUAGACGGAUAGCGUGCCUGCCGGGCUGGUCCGGAAGUCGCGUGUCGACGGCAGCCAUAACAGCACCCCUCCGCAACUCUUACCCCCCUUCCUUCACCCAGAACCACCACCUCCUGCUUGAUUUCCUUACUUGCUACCAGCGACGACCAGCACGGCCUACCACGGAUUCGCGCUUGUGUGGGCGAAAAGCAAUCCGUGCAGGUCGAAGGUAAAGGAGUAUUGGUGCAACAUUACCCUAACGAACCGCGAGAACGAGUCGGCGAUUGGUCGAUCCUGUCGAGCGAGCAAGGCCCGAAGGGAAGCAACCCUCUCUCUUCUUCUCUCUCAACUCUCGUUCUGAGUUACAUACCGUUUUCAGAAUCGUCAGGCUGACCGUGCUGUUAACACUCGUUCGGUGCCUUUACUAUUUUUGCUCGACAUUUUUGCUCUACAAUUGACUGAGCAGUAAAAUAAUUAACAGUGCGUCAACUGCGCGGAAGCCUAUCGUUUGUGUCAAGACGCUCUGAAAAUCGCUCAAAACUGUGUAAACGUAAGCGUCAUCGUAUCUUCCGUUCUGCCAAGUGUAACGUCGCGCCAAAUGCAAGAGUAUUCGCCUGAUGGCCGUACAAUCUCUCCAUUAACGUUGUGCAAUUUUGAAUGAGAGUGAGUCACUCGAGCGAAAAUCAUGCUCGCGGAGGGAUCGCACGUAGCAGCAUAGCAUGAGCAGUAACAGCAAGAAGCCAUCAGGAGGCAAGGACGAUAAGAAGAAUCCCUCCAGUAAAGAGGACAGUCCGUCGGGCGGUAAGGACGAUGGUGGUUCAGCGUCGACGGGAAGCAAUGGCGGUGCAGCCGCGGGAGAGCCGUCGCAGCCCGGGAGUAAGCCCAGCUCCGCCGGUGCGACUGCCAGAGAAGGGGCCCAAAGGCUGCUGGGCUUGGCGGCCCGCGGAGAAUGGGCCCCCGUGGACCAGCUGCUCAAGUCUCUGGAGAAGACGGUGCAGAGCGCGGGGGAGGAUGGCUUUAUCGUGCCCCUCGCAGGUGUUUUGGACACGACGACUGGGAUGACGCCGUUGAUGUACGCGGUGAAGGACAACCGCAGCGCGCUGCUCGACCGGAUGAUCGAGCUCGGGUCCGACGUGGGCGCCAGAAACAAUGACAAUUACAAUGCCCUCCACAUCGCUGCUAUGUAUUCGAGGGAGGAUGUCGUUAAGUUAUUGUUAUCCAAGAGGGGUGUUGAUCCCUAUGCUACUGGAGGGCCGAGACAACAAACGGCGGUUCAUUUGGUGGCGUCGAGACAAACGGGCACCGCGACGUCGAUUCUGCGAGCUCUCUUGGGUGCUGCCGGACGGGACAUCAGGCUAAAGGUCGACGGUAAAGGAAAAAUACCUCUUCUGCUAGCAGUCGAGGCUGGCAAUCAGUCAAUGUGCCGGGAACUCUUAGCACAGCAAGCGCCCGAUCAGCUUCGCGCCACCACACCAGCCGGUGAUUCCGCUUUACAUUUGGCCGCUAGAAGAAGAGACAUCGACAUGGUGCGGAUCCUGGUGGACUACGGCGCGGCUGUCGACAUGCAAAAUGGCGACGGGCAAACGGCGUUGCACAUAGCGAGUGCCGAAGGUGACGAAACGUUAGUGAAAUAUUUUUACGGUGUCCGAGCCUCUGCCUCGAUCACCGAUCAUCAAGAUCGAACGCCGAUGCAUUUGGCCGCUGAAAAUGGCCACGCUUCCAUCAUCGAGUUACUGGCCGAUAAAUUCAAAGCAAGUAUCUUUGAAAGAACGAAAGACGGCUCUACUCUGAUGCAUAUAGCAUCGCUGAACGGUCACUCGGAAUGUGCCACUAUGCUCUUCAAGAAGGGCGUGUAUUUGCACAUGCCAAACAAACGUGGUGCCAGGUCUAUUCAUACGGCUGCAGGAUAUGGCCAUGUGGGCAUUAUCAGUACUUUGCUACAACGAGGAGAAAAGGUGGACGCGAUAACCAACGAUAAUUAUACAGCACUCCAUAUAGCCGUGGAAAGUGCCAAACCGGCUGUCGUGGAAACUCUUCUAGGAUACGGCGCAGAGGUACACGUGAGAGGCGGAAAACUUCGGGAAACUCCGCUUCACAUAGCUGCCAGAGUACCCGAUGGCGACAGAUGCGCUCUGAUGUUAUUAAAAUCUGGAGCUGGUCCCAAUUUGACAACCGAUGACGGCCAAACGCCCGUGCACGUGGCAGCCAGCCACGGGAAUUUAGCGACGCUCCUUUUACUGCUCGACGAUGGCGGAGAUCCGAUGUUUAAAUCAAAAAACGGAGAAACGCCGUUGCACUUAGCUUGCAGAGGUUGCAGGGCCGACGUGGUCCGACACCUUAUAGAAUUCGUAAAGGAAAAGAAGGGCCCGGAAGUGGCGACCGCCUAUGUAAACAGUCUGACCAACGAAGGUGCCAGCGCGCUUCAUUACGCGGCUCAAAUCGAACCCUCGGAAGUUAGCACCCCCGGAGAUGAUCGCGCCAUUGUUCGCGCUCUUCUCGACAGCGGCGCGGACGUCUCGCUGCAGACCAGACAGGCCCAGGAAUCGGCGUUCCAUCAUUGUGCUCUCGCCGGCAACAACGAGGUCCUGCAGGAAAUGAUCAGUCGGAUGUCGGCUACGGAAGUGCAAAAGGCCUUAAACCGGCAGAGCGCCGUAGGUUGGACGCCUCUGCUGAUCGCCGCUCAUCGGGGCCACAUGGAAUUGGUGACUACACUCCUCGCCAAUCAUGGCAGAGUAGACGUGUUCGAUCUCGAAGGUAGAUCCGCUCUUCAUCUAGCCGCCGAGCACGGCUAUAUUGAGGUCUGCGACGCGUUGUUAGCGAACAAGGCCUUCAUAAACUCUAAGUCGCGCGUGGGAAGAACUGCCCUGCACUUGGCUGCCAUGAACGGUUACACGCAUUUGGUACGAUUCCUCGUGCAGGAUCACGGUGCCGCGAUAGAUGUGCUCACCCUGAGGAAACAAACUCCUCUUCAUCUGGCGGCGGGUUCGGGCCAAUUGGAGGUUUGCAAGCUGCUAUUGGAACUCGGUGCCAGCAUAGACGCCACGGAUGAUCAGGGGCAAAAGCCAAUCCACGCUGCGGCCAUGAACAAUUACGCUGAAGUGGCCCAGCUCUUUUUGCAGAGACACGCCAAUCUUGUGAUGGCUUGCACCAAGGACGGCAAUACCUGUGCUCACAUUGCCGCUAUGCAAGGCAGCGUCAGGGUAAUCGAAGAGCUGAUGAAGUUUGACAGGCAGGGCGUGAUAACCGCUAGGAAUAAACUGACGGAAGCAACUCCUCUGCAAUUAGCGGCGGAAGGUGGACACGCCGAGGUCGUAAAGGCUCUAGUUAGGGCCGGCGCGUCGUGUGCCGAUGAGAAUCGCGCGGGUUUUACCGCGGUUCAUCUGGCGGCACAGCAUGGUCACGGCCAAGUACUUGAAGUGAUGAGAACGACUCAAUCCCUCAGGAUAACUAGUAAAAAGCUCGGCGUUACCGCGCUUCACGUUGCUGCUUACUUUGGACAAGCUGAUACGGUUAGAGAAUUGCUAACUCACAUACCCGGAACCGUAAAGUCUGAUCCACCAAACGGAGCAUCUUUGGUUGGAGAGCUAGGGGCUGAAUCCGGCAUGACUCCUCUUCAUCUAGCUGCCUAUUCUGGAAACGAGAACGUCGUGCGACUUCUUCUCAAUUCUGCGGGAGUUCAGGUGGAUGCAGCGACGACAGAAAACGGCUGGAACCCCCUGCAUUUGGCUUGCUUCGGCGGUCACAUAACUGUCGUCGGUCUACUGUUGAGCAGAUCGGCAGAAUUAUUGCAUAGCUCGGAUCGUUACGGAAAGACUGGGCUGCAUAUCGCAGCGACUCACGGUCAUUAUCAGAUGGUGGAAGUUCUUCUGGGUCAAGGCGCGGAAAUAAACGCGACCGACAAGAAUGGUUGGACACCAUUGCAUUGUGCUGCACGCGCUGGCCAUUUGGACGUGGUGAAGUUGCUCGUGGAAAGCGGCGGGUCUCCAAAAACUGAGACGAAUCUUGGCUGCGCACCGAUCUGGUUCGCCGCUUCCGAGGGUCACAACGAUGUGCUAAAGUAUCUCAUGGAGAAGGAGCACGAUACAUACGCUCUGAUGGAUGAUAAGAGGUUCGUCUACAACAUGAUGGUCUGCAGCAAAAGCCAUAACAACAAACCGAUCGAAGAAUUCGUUCUGGUGUCACCCGCGCCUGUCGAUACUGCGGCCAAACUGUCCAACAUCUACAUGAAGCUUUCCGAAAAAGAAAAGGAGCGCGCCAAGGAUUUAAUUGCGGCUGGAAAACAGUGCGAGGCAAUGGCCACCGAAUUGCUGGCUCUGGCGGCGGGCGCCGACUCAGCCGGCAGGAUUUUGACGUCGAUGGAUCGCAGGAAUGUCGAGUUCCUGGACGUGUUGAUCGAGAACGAACAGAAGGAGGUGAUCGCGCAUACCGUGGUGCAGCGCUACCUGCAAGAGCUGUGGCAAGGUAGUCUGAAUUGGAACGCGUUCAGGACGAUCCUGCUGUUCAUCGCCUUCAUCGUGUGCCCGCCGGUCUGGGUGGUGUUCGCCCUUCCGCUCGGGCAUAGGUACAAUCACGUGCCUAUCAUCAAGUUCAUGUCGUAUCUUACAUCUCACAUCUAUCUGAUGGUCUUCCUAUUGCUGGUCGGCAUCACGCCGAUCUAUCCGGUGGUGAGGGCCAGUUUAAUACCGUACUGGUACGAGUGGUGCCUGCUGGUGAUGCUAUCGGGACUGUUGCUGUUUGAGCUGACGAAUCCCAGCGACAAGAGUGGCCUUGGUUGGAUCAAGCUGGCGGUGCUGCUCUUCGGCAUAUUCGGGGUCGCGUUUCACCUGAUGGGAUUUGUAAUCAUAGAGAGACCGUACUGGCCGACUCUCCUCUACCUGAGAAACCAGCUUUUUGCUCUCAGUUUCCUUUUAGCUUGCGUGCAGAUCCUGGACUUUCUUUCAUUUCACCAUCUGUUCGGGCCGUGGGCCAUCAUUAUCGGUAAUCUUAUGAAGGAUCUUGCGAGGUUUCUCGCAGUGUUGGCGAUCUUCGUCUUUGGCUUCUCCAUGCAUUUCGUCGCGCUCAAUCAAGCGUUCAAGAACCAAACGCCGCAGGAAGCGCGCGCGGAGGACAGAAGACAAAAGAAGGCAUUCUCCGACGUCAGGAUGGACCCUAUACUCGCGGUCGAAUUGUUGUUCUUCGCCAUCUUCGGUCAGACGACGCAUGAACAGUUCAAGGUAGAAGCGUAUCAGCCCAGUUGGACGACCGUCCUCUUUAAGCUCACCUUCGGCAUUUACAUGUUGGUGUCGGUGGUUGUGCUUAUUAAUCUCCUGAUCGCCAUGAUGAGCGAUACCUAUCAGCGGAUACAGGCGCAGUCGGACAUCGAGUGGAAAUACGGAUUGAGCAAACUUAUUCGAAACAUGCACAGGACCACAACGGCACCAUCUCCGUUGAAUCUCCUAACCACGUGGAUUACGUAUUUCGUCAAACUUUGCAAGAAACGUAUGACUAAAAAGCAACGGCCCUCUCUGAUGAACCUGAUGGGCGGCAGCCGUCUGUCCCCUCGCACCAGGAUGGGAGCCAAGUGGCUGUCCAAGAUAAAGAAGAACACACAGGUCGGACACAAAGAUAGCGUCGCCUUAUCGGUGGUUCACCUGAGUCCUCUCGGGAGUCAGUUGUCCUUCAGACACUCCGUCAAGAUCGACAAUGUUGUUGACUGGGAGGUCGUCAGGCGCAAGUAUAGAGACCUUUACGGUGAAAAGAUCGAGGAAAAGCCGGUUGAAGAGAACAAGGAAUCGAUCGAGAAUCCGUUGGCGAUUUUAGAAGGCUCAUCAAAUGCUGACCCGAAAUCGGGACUUGGACUUGGAGCAUGAAUGACAAGAGAAAUGUGGAAGAUAAACAUCGAAAAUAUAUUAUUACAUAACUCUCAUGAAAAAGAGAGAAAAAGGGAUCAAAGCUCUUCCUACUUUUGCAGACUCGCCGUUUAUUAAUGCAUUUAAUCGCAUUGCGUUUAUUUGUACAUAUCGCCGUGGGGCGUAUACGGAGGACCUUAUCAGUAUUUUCAAAAUAAACGUCUAAGAUCGAUUGCGACGUUGCGUCGCUUGUACAGUUAUUGUUAGCUAGCAAACCUGUACUCCUUGUGAUCCAUAGUCUAAUCGAUUACCUAUAACACGUUUUAGAGGCUACCAUGGGGAAUACCCGUGUGCAUAGGGAUCGUUCCAAGUCACGUUUGACGUGGUAGUUGAUCCAGUCGAAAUUACGGAGAAUCUUUUCUUUGCUAUUUUUGGUCAAAAAGAAAUUCACGCCUUUACGUUAUC